rnacentral:rRNA from 1 species
CGUGAGCCAGGUCGGUUCUUAUCUAUUGUAGAAGUUUAUCAGUACGAAAGGAUAGUAAGCUUUUUUAUUAAACAUGAAUUGUGUUAGCUUUGCAAAAGCUAAAGAGAAUUGUUUUAAUAAUUCCAUGUUUUAUAUUAGUUGUUUAACUGUGGCAAAAGAAAGUUUGUGUUUCAUUAACUGCAUAAAAUUAGUUUAUUUUUAGGUAUGAUUUAGUGUUAUUUAUUUUAUUUAGCAGUUAGUUUUUUGUUAAAACUAGAGUUUUAAAAGGGUGAAACAUUAGAAGGGGAUAGGACACAGUGCCAGCAUCUGCGGUUAAUCUGUUUUCUUUGUUUUUGUGUAGAUUGUGUGUGUUUAUUUAUCUUUAAAAAUAGGUUAAAUUUUUUUAUUUAAGUUUUAAGUAUUCAUUUUUAUAUAAAAUUUAUAUUUGUGACAGGGAUUAGAUACCCCAUUAACGUAUUUUGUAAUAUUAUCUUAGUUUAGUAACUAAAAUGGUUUGGCAGUGAGUGAUUCUUUUUAGGGGAAGGUGUGGUGUAAAGGAUGUUCCGCCUAUUAAUUUACUUUUAUUAUGUUGGUGUAUAUCUGGUUUAAUAUUAUCGUUGAGUGAUGUAUAAGUUUGUGUAGGUUUUAGUUAAGCUAAGUCUAUGUGCUGCUUAUAAAAGUAUACAUGCGUUACAUUGAUAAAGUUUUAGUUGUAAGUGCUAUUAUAUUCAGGACUUAAAAGUAAUGUUAAAUUAGUUUGUUAAUGUGAAGUAAGUUUAGCUCAUGUACACACCGCCCGUCACCCUCGAUU